UACGUAGGGUGCGAGCGUUGUCCGGAAUUAUUGGGGCGUAAAGGGCUCGUAGGCGGUCUGUCACGUCGGGAGUGAAAACACGGGGCUUAACCCCGUGCCUGCUUCCGAUACGGGCAGACUAGAGGUAUGCAGGGGAGAACGGAAUUCCUGGUGUAGCGGUGAAAUGCGCAGAUAUCAGGAGGAACACCGGUGGCGAAGGCGGUUCUCUGGGCCUUACCUGACGCUGAGGAGCGAAAGCGUGGGGAGCGAACAGG
rnacentral:rRNA from 1 species